rnacentral:lncRNA from 1 species
ACGCGCGUUCCUGCCGCAGGUAGUCUACCCGGGUCCUGAUCCCGGACGCAGAGAGGAAGAGCAGGGGGAGCGGGAGAGUACUGAGAGAAAAAGACGGAAGGUCGUGGAAAAACGCUAUGUUGGGCGAGGAGUAGUAGCUGGGAUGAGGAGAGGAGAGAGACAGGCUGCGUUACCGAAUGGGCAGUCUGUUAUCUUAAAGGUCUGGCUCUACUGCCUAGGCUGGAGUGCAGUGGCACGAUCUGGGCUUACUGCAGCCUCCACAUCCCUUCAAGCAAUCCUGCCUCCACCUCCCUAGAUGCUGGGACCACAGCUUCCUCAUUUUCUCUUGCCACCACCAUGUAAGAAGUGCCUUUCGCCUCCCACCAUGAUUCUGAGGCCUUGCCAGCCUUGUGGAAAUGUAAGUCCAAUUAAACCUCUUUUUCUUCCCAGUCUUGGGUGGGUCUUUAUCAGCAGCAUGAAAAUGGACUAAUACAGUAAAUUGGUACCAGUAGAGUGGGGUGUUUCUGGAAAGAUACCCGAAAAUGUAGAAACAACUUUGGAACUGGGUAACAGGUAGAGGUUGGAACAGUUUGGAGGGCUCAGAGAAGACAGGAAAAUGUGAGAAAGUUUGGAACUUCCUAGAGACUUGUUGAAUGACUUUGACAAAAAUGCUGAUAGUGAUAUGAACAAUAAGGUCCAGGCUAAGGUGGUCUCAGAUAGAGACGAGGAACUUGUUGGGAACUGGAGCAAAGGUGACUCUUGUUAUGUUUUAGCAAAGGGACUGGCAGCAUUUUGCCCCUGCCCUAGGGAUUUGUGAAACUUUCAACUUGAGAGAGAUGAUUUAGGGCAUCUGGCGGAAGGAAUUUGUAAGCAGCAAAGCAUUCAAGAUGUGACUUGGUUGCUGUUAAAGGCAUUCAGUUUUAAAAGGGAAGCAGAGCAUAAAAGUUCAGAAAAUUUGCAGCCUGACAGUGCGAUAGAAAAGAAUCCUAGCUGGGCGCAGCAACUCAUGCCUGUAAUCCCAGCACUUUGGGUGGCUGAAGUGGGUGGAUCAUUUGAAGUCAGGAAUUCUAGACUACCCGGGCCAACAUGGGGAAACCCUGUCUCCACUAAAAAUACAACACUUAGCCAGGCAUGGUGGUUCAUACCUAUAAUCCCAGCUACUCAGGAGGCUGAGGCAAGAGAAUCACUUGAACCCAGGAGAUGGAGGUGGCAGUAAGUCGAGAUUGCAGCAUUGCACUCCAGCCUGGGCAACAGAGUGAGACUCCAUCAGGGAUAAAAAAAAAAAAAAA